AUGUCUGGCGCCCUGUCGCGACAGUACAACUGCGGCGCUCCUUCCUCGCCGGGGGCCCUUCCUCGCCCAGCACCGGGAGCUGCCGCCCGCCGGUUCCCAGCCCCGGCCGCUCCGUGCCGACGGGGGGGGUCUUGGCAGCGACCCCUGGCCGCCUGCUGGGCUGGGCCGGGCCGGGCGGGCCCGCCCCCGGGCUAUUUAGUGCUCGGCACGGCCAGCCGCGCUCCGCCACCGGCGGGGCUGCACGGCUCGGCACGGCUCGGCUCGGGACGGGACAGCUCAGCUCGGGACGGGACGGGAGCGGGCUGCCAGCGCCCUCGAGCGGCACUGGGGUCGAGGAGGGGCAGCCAAGCCCUUGGGCACGAGCCGAGCUCUUCCUCCGGGCGCCGGGCAGGGCUGCUGCCAGCUCCGUGCCGGUGGGGCGGGACGGGGCGCGCAGCCCUCGCCCUGCCCAGCCGAGGAACGCGGACACCGGCUCCGAGAGCUGGGAGAAGAGAGGCAGCAGCGGGAGCGGCCGGGACCGGGUCUGCUUGCUAUCCUCAGAAUAUCUCUAUCCAAGUUAGAGGAAAAAGGAUAAAUCUGACGUCACAGACCAGACCACAGGCAAGAGAUGACUCAACCAGGAAGAGGAGGAGAAAUGGAAUAGUUACAACACUGGACCAGUCCAGCUCUUCAGAAGUGAAGUUGAAGAGGUCUCGGAAACAGUCUGCUUGUAUUUGCCCUCCCUUUCACCACUAACCACCAACAUGCUAAAGGCCUGCACGGUUUUCCAGGGUGUCUGACUCCUGGGAUCAAUAUUCAAAUCACAGAUCUGACAACUGACAGCACUUUCCUCUCUGCUUUCUAAGUGGUAAAGCAGCUUCAGCACAGCUGCUGUUGCAUCCAUUUGCUACUUUAGUUGUGCCUUCGUCUGUUUCCCAAGACAUCAUUUACAUAAGGAGCCGCUGCAAACCCUCUGGCACCAAAUGCAUGUGAUACGAGGUUAUGCAAAACUGACAGCCAGAUGUGCAAAUCUUUUGUGGUAAGCAAGAGUCAUAACUUAGAUAUGGAAUGAAAGUAUUUAUGGCAGUCUAUCUUGCUGGCUCGUGUAAUGAAAGAUUCACUUUUAAUUGUCACUACCUUUAUUUAAAAAAAAAACAAAAAAGUCUGUAGGGAGAAUGGGACCAUUUGGGAAGACUGUUAAAGUUUCAGUGAAUCACAGAAUAUCCUAAAUUAGAAGGGACCCAUGGCAACCAUCAAGUCCAACUUCUGGCUCCACAGAGGACCACACAAGAAUGAAACCCUAUGUCCGAGAGCAUUGUCCAAAUGCUUCUUGAACUCUUGCAGGCUCAGUGCCGUGACCACUGUCUUGGGGAGCCUGCGCCAGUGCCCGACCACCCUCUCAGUGAGGAAUCUUUUCCUAAUACCCAACCUCAGUCUCCCCUAUUGCAGCCUCAUGCUGUUCCCUCAGGUCCAAAUUUGACUGGUCCUGACAUUAAGGCUAUAAAUUAUGCUGUCUCUUCAUUUCAGGCUAAAUACAAGAGAUAAAUUAAAUGUAGACACAGUCCAUUAUUUCCAUUAAUAGUGGCAGAUACUUUUCUGGAAAAAUCUGUCUCUUCCUGGGCUUAGGCACUAGGUCAUCUGGAUAGAAAAAUGCCGUGCAUCUUGCAGAUGAAAGGCCAGCAAUAACAAAAUAUGCUAGAGUAGCCAAAUAUGUAUUUGAAAUUAUAUAAUUUCAGAAUUAUAUAUUCUGAAGGAUUUUUUUCUCUCUAGGUAGAUCAGACAGGUCACUACAACCAAAAAGAAGUCUAAAGGGAAUUUCGUGCAUCUUGUAAACUCAACUACCAUUUUGUGCAGGUAUUUGAAAAAUACUAAACUGAGAACACCAUUGACUGCUGUAGCAAAGGAGGCUUUUUGUUCCAACAGGAAUCACUUGUAAGAAACUGAGAUUCAAAACCAUGAUAUAUGUUUUUAAACACUAAGAGGUGUAAGCCACUGGAGUAACUUAACAACAGUUGUAAUCAAUUAGUCAUCCUGCAAAGGCUUUAACAUUAAUAAGAACCAGACAUCUAAUAUGCGUAGAUGCAACAUGGACCAAGUGUAUCUACAAAACUCUAGGCCAUCUCAUGUAAUCACAACCAGAUAUUCUAAACUAGAGAAUUGCCAAAAAUGGAUUGAACAUGAAUCACUGCACUGCUUACUUCCUGCAAAAUACGGGGAGAAAAAGGUAAAAACACAGAACAAAAAGAGAUGAAACUACAGUGAUUUCAAGGUAACUCUUUGUAAUUGCCAGAGAAAGCAUAUAUAUACUGAGUAUGCAUAUAGGAUGACUUUACCUCAGAAAGCUUUAUCUAAUAGAGAAAUAAAAAAGUCUUUGAAAAGAAAGUUUAUCA
rnacentral:lncRNA from 1 species